GACGAACGCAGGCGGCGUGCUUAACACAUGCAAGUCGAGCGGAAAGGCCACUUCGGUGGUACUCGAGCGGCGAACGGGUGAGUAACACGUGAGUAAUCUGCCCUUGGCUUUGGGAUAGCCACCGGAAACGGUGAUUAAUACCGGAUAUGCACUACUUCUCGCAUGGGUUGUGGUGGAAAGUUUUUCGGCCAGGGAUGUGCUCGCGGCCUAUCAGCUUGAUGGUGAGGUAAUGGCUCACCAUGGCUUCGACGGGUAGCCGGCCUGAGAGGGUGACCGGUCACACUGGGACUGAGACACGGCCCAGACUCCUACGGGAGGCAGCAGUGGGGAAUAUUGGACAAUGGGCGGAAGCCUGAUCCAGCAACGCCGCGUGAGGGAUGACGGCCUUCGGGUUGUAAACCUCUUUCAGCAGGGACGAAGCGCAAGUGACGGUACCUGCAAAAGAAGCACCGGCCAACUACGUGCCAGCAGCCGCCGUAAUAC
rnacentral:rRNA from 1 species